AAGCAGAGUGAAGGGGCAACAGGCUGUCAACAGUGGCAGUUGCUGGGGGCUCCCAUCUAUUAAAAAGCCACAGAAAGUCUUUUCCUACUGCCUGAGGAAUUAAUCCCUUAUUUAACACUCAUAAUUGCUGGAUCAAUUUAACAGGACUGGAGCUAACAUUUGCUUGGAUUUGGCACCAUUGAUAGGGAACUGCCUGCUGCGUCCUCCGCUUUGAAGUCACCCUGGUCUUUGGGCCUUCAGCACCUUCUUCAGCAUGUCCAACCCAUCUAAGAGGCGUAUGAUACUGGUGUUCCACUGGGUUAGGAAGAAGCCCCUGACAGAGAAGCCGUGCUCUACCAUCUCGGCCAGACCUUCUGCCUCUGCACCGGCUUGCAACACUCCUCACAUUGCACCCUACUUCACAAGGAGCAAGACACAACCCUCAGGAGGUCCAGCAGGCGCAAGGUGCUGUGAUUGCCGAAUCUCACCGACCCCAAGUUUUUAAGAUCCGUCAUUGGCAGCGUUGGCCGGAAGAGAGCCCGCAGGUGUGGCAAGCAAAAGAAGACUCCAGCGGGAACAGGAAAUGGGGUGAGGGCUAGGCUAGAGGCAAGAAGGCUCCCAAGCUAUUUGCGGGGUGGGAUUGCUUUGGAAGAUGCCUUCUCACAAUCUCUACCCUUGAACCACGUAAGGACAUAAGAAGUCCCUGCUGGAUGAGGCCACAUUGGCCUGUCUAGUCCAGCAUCCUGUUCUCACAGUGGCCAACCAGAGGCCUGUGGAAACAAGAGCAUUCUGUAUUCCCUUCCUGCAUCUUCCAGCAACUACUAUUCACAAACGUUACUGCCACUGACUGUGGAGGUAGAGCAGAGCCAUCGUGCCUAGUGGCCAUUGAUAGCCUUUCCUGCAUAAAACCAUCCACGUUGUUGGCCGUCACAGCCUUCUGUGGGAUUGAGCUUCCAGAGGGGUAGCUGAGCAUGCCUGUUGCAGGAAAAACAGGCAUUAAAAGCACAUUUCUCCCAAAGAAUCCUGGGAAUUGCAGUUUGUAAAGGGUGCUACAAAUUGUAGCUGUGUGGUAGAAGGGUAAUCUACAGUUCCCAGGAUUCUUACAGGGGAAAAGUGAUAAUGCUUUUAAUGUAUGGUGUGUACACAGCUUCAAAUUAGCUCCACCAGCUCUGUAAUACUAAAGCAAAGAUUAUAAUGCAUAUUGUUGUUGUUGUUGUACUUUUAUAAAUAUUAUAAAACCCAUUCCUGCAAGCCAUGUAGUCUGGAAUAAACUCAGUCACCCCUCCCAUCAUUAAUUGUUUCUACUAGGUGGGGAGGGGUGUUGGAUCUGCUUCCCUGCCUUGAAGAAAGGCGCAGGUCAUAUGUGUGCCCAGACCUGGCCACGCUUCGCAAGAAUCAUAGAAUCAUAGAGUUGGAAGAGACCACAAGGGCCAUCGAGUCCAGCCCCCUGCCAAGCGGGAAACACCAUCAGAGCACUCCUGACAUAUGGCUGUCAAGCCUCUGCUUAAAGACCUCCAAAGAAGGAGACUCCACCACACUCCUUGGCAGCAAAUUCCACUGUUGAACAGCUCUUACUGUCAGGAAGUUCUUCCUAAUGUUUAGGUGGAAUCUUCUUUCUUGUAGUUUGGAUCCAUUGCUCCGUGUCCGCUUCUCUGGAGCAGCAGAAAACAACCUUUCUCCCUCCUCUAUGUGACAUCCUUUUCUAUAUUUGAACAUGGCUAUCAUAUCACCCCUUAACCUCCUCUUCUCCAGGCUAAACAUGCCCAGCUCCCUUAGCCGUUCCUCAUAAGGCAUCGUUUCCAGGCCUUUGACCAUUUUGGUUGCCCUCCUCUGGACACGUUCCAGUUUGUCAGUGUCCUUCUUGAACUGUGGUGCCCAGAACUGGACACAGUACUCCAGGUGAGGUCUGACCAGAGCAGAAUACAGUGGCACUAUUACUUCCCUUGAUCUAGAUGCUAUACUCCUCUUGAUGCAGCCCAGAAUUGCAUUGGCUUUGUUAGCUGCCGCGUCCCACUGUUGGCUCAUGUCAAGUUUGUGGUCAACCAAGACUCCUAGAUCCUUUUCACAUGUACUGCUCUCAAGCCAGGUGUCACCCAUCUUGUAUUUGUGCCUCUCAUUUUUUUGCCCAAAUGCAAUACUUUACAUUUCUCCCUGUUAAAAUUCAUCUUGUUUGUUUUGGCCCAGUUCUCUAAUCUGUCAAGGUUGUUUUGAAGUGUGAUCCUGUCCUCUGGGGUGUUAGCCACCCCUCCCAGUUUGGUGUCAUCUGCAAAUUUGAUCAGGAUGCCCUUGAGUCCAUCAUCCAAGUCGUUGAUAAAGAUGUUGAAUAAGACCGGGCCCAAGACAGAACCCUGUGGCACCCCACUAGUCACUCUUCUUCAGGAUGAAGAGGAACCAUUGAUGAGCACCCUUUGGGUUCGGUCAGUCAGCCAGUUACAAAUCCACUGAGUGGUAGCAUAGUCAAGACCACAUUUUACCAGCUUCUUUACAAGAAUAUCAUGGGGCACCUUGUCAAAUGCCUUGCUGAAAUCAAGGUAGGCUACAUCCACUGCGUUCCCUUCAUCUACCAGGCUUGUAAUUCUGUCAAAAACGAGAUCAGGUUAGUCUGGCAUGACUUAUUUUUCAGAAAUCCAUGCUGACUAUUGGUGAUCACAGCAUUCCUUUCUAGGUGCUCACAGACUGUUUGCUUAAUGAUCUGCUCCAGAAUCUUCCCUGGUAUUGAUGUCAGACUGACUGGGCGGUAAUUAUUUGGGUUCUCUCUUUUCCCCUUUUUGAAAAUAGGGACAACAUUUGCCCUCCUCCAGUCUGCCGGGACUUCGCCUGUUCUCCAGGAAUUCUCAAAGAUGACUGCCAGUGGUUCUGAGAUCACAUCUGCCAGUUCUUUUAAUACUCUUGGAUGCAGUUCAUCUGGCCCUGGAGACUUGAAUACAUCUAAACUAGCCAAGUAUUCUUGUACUAUCUCCUUAGUAAUUCUGGGCUGUGUUUCCUCUGCUGAAUCAUUUGCUCCAAAUUCUUCAGGUCGGGCAUUGUUUUCUUUAUCGGAGAAGACUGAGGCAAAGAAGGCAUUGAGGAGUUUAGCCCUUUCUGUGUCCCCUGUUUGCAUUUCACCAUCUUCUCCUCUGAGUGACCCCACUGUUUCUUUGUUCUUCCUUUUGCUACUGAACAUACCCAUAAAAGCCUUUUUGUUGCUUUUAACCUCUCUAGCAAGCCUGAGUUCAUUCUGUGCUUUAGCUUUUCUGACUUUGUGUCUACACGUGCUGGCUAUUUGUUUGAAUUCCUCUUUGGUGGUUUCCCCCUUUUCCAUUUUUGUACACAUCCUUUUUAAUCUUAACUCAGUUAAAAGUUCUUUAGAUAGCCACCCUGGCUUCUUUAGGCACCUUCCAUGUUUCUGUCUCAUUGGUAUUGCCUGGAGUUGUGCUUUUACUAUCUCCCUCUUAACAAACUCCCAGCCAUCAUGAACUCCCUUUCCUUUUAGUAUUACUGUCCAUGGGAUCUCACCCAGCACUUCCCUAAAUUUUAUGAAGUCGGCUUUCUUAAAGUCAAGAAAUUGAGUCCUAGUAUGCUUGGCUGCUCCUUUCCGCUGUAUAGUAAACUUCAGAAGAGCAUGAUCACUCGCGCCUAAUGAUCCUUCCACUUCUACCCCACUAACCAGGUCAUCAACAUUGGUUAGGACCAGAUGUAAAAUGGCUGUUCCUCUUGUUGCUUCUCCCACUUUCUGGACAAUGAAGUUGUCUGCAAGGCCAGUGAGGAAUCUGUUUGACCUUAUGCUCUUGGCUGAGUUUGACAUCCAACAAAUAUCCGGGUAAUUGAAGUCCCCCAUUACUCCUAUCUCCCUUCCUUUUGCAUGCUUGGCCAUCUGUUCCAGGAAGGCAUCAUCUAUGUCCUCCGUUUGGCUUGGGGAUCUAUAGUAAACUCCCACAAUGAGGUCACUGUUAUUCUUCUCUCCCUUAAUUUUGACCCAAAUGCUCUCACUUUGGCUUUGAGGUUCUAAAUCUUGGAUCUCUUCACAGGUAUACACAUCCCUGACAUAUAACGCCACUCCUCCUCCUUUCUUGUCUGGUCUGUUUCUCUGAAAUAGAUUAUCUCCCUCCAUUAUUACAUUCCAAUCGUGGGACUUAUCCCACCAGGUUUCAGUGAUGCCUAUUAUGUCAUAUUUAGUUUGCUGUACCAAGAGCUCAAGCUCAUCUUGUUUAUUUCCCAUGCUUUGCGCAUUAGUGUACAGACAUUGAAGUCCAUUAAUCAUUCCCCUGUGUCUCUUAUUUAAGGAUUUUUUCCUCACACCACUAGGUCUGCGUGCUGUUUGCUCCAUUUGGACUAUGACAUUUGGAUGAUCAUCUUCAUCAAUUGAUAGACUCCUACCUUCAGGAGCACUGUCUCCCCCCCCACAUUAGUCAGUUUAAAGCCCUCCUGAUGAGGUUUCUGAGAUUUUUGGCAAAAACAUUCUUCCCAACCGUUGUGAGGUGCAGCCCAUCGCUUGCCAGAAGUCCAUCUUCAAGAAACUGCAGUCCGUGAUCUAAGAAUCCAAACCGUUCCUGUUUACACCAUUUGCGAAGCCAGCUGUUCACUUCCACUAUUUUUCCCUCUCUCCCUGGGCCACGUCGUUCAACUGGGAGGACAGAUGAGAUGACAAUUUGUGCGUUUAAUUGCUUCAAUUUCCUGCCCAGAGCCUCAUAGUCUCUUUUGAUCUUCUGGAGAGGUGUGUUGGUUCAAGGUGGCCACGCUGCCUGCAACUUGCACUCCUUCCUGACGUGUCUUCCCCAAACCCCGUCUUCCAGAGGCUGUGUUGAAGUUUUCCAUCACGUGGAACACAAACUCGCGGAACUAUCUCGAGGCUCAGGCAGUGGUGGAAACCCUCCUCAAGCAUGAGAUGCCAGAGAGCCUCUUGCAAUACGAAGGGAUCAAAGCAGCUGUGGAGUCUCUCCCACCAUUCACGGCACUUCCAGAGGCUGGGCCGGUUACUGCAGGCCUCCAUGUUCCUUGAUUUCAUGUGACAAAACAUGAAGUUGCCUGAUGCCGCCCAGUGGGACGGGGAGAUGGACACGUGAUGAGCUUUAUGUAUUUAUUUAUUUAUUUUUAUUGAGGACAAAUUAG
rnacentral:lncRNA from 1 species